CGUGAGUGGAAGUACAGCGACUCGGCGGCACCGGCGCGACUCUGACCGGAGGAUCCGUGAAGGUUUGUGCGAAUGCCCCUCGCGUGGACUGUCGGUAUUCACAUCGGUCCACGAGUUAAAAUGACGAAACAGUCAUUCAUCCCAGUGUGGAGAUCAAGAACUUGAAUGAUGCAGAACCUCAUGUGUUCUCUUUUUGCUGGUCUUGUUGAACAUUCAACGCUGUCGGUGAGUUUCUGACAUUAAAAACCCAUCGACCGUUGAUUGUGCCCUGAGGCCACGCCCACAUCUGCCAGACAGACCUGUUGUGGUCACGCCCACCUCUGUCUUUCCAUCUACAGUUAAAUCCGUCCCUUUAAAGGUCAUGAUCAACAUUCAUUGCUGUCGGUGGGUUUAGUUUCAUAACAGCUCUCUGAACAAUGAAUGUAACUACGGCCCAGAACAUCACGCUCCGCAGAGAUCCACUUCUUCCUUUCAUGCUCUUCUCAUCCUCGCGGAUCUGGAGUUCUUCAAGGUAGACGCAAAUAGAAGCAGCCGCGCUGACUGCUUCCUCCGGCAUCUAAUUGGUAGUUGUGCGUAUGAGCGUGUGUAUGUGUCGAGCGGAUAGAAGGAAACGGAGGAUGAAUGUGUAAUCAUUGAGAUGUUCUUCUCAUUUGGCUGUUUUGUUUGUUAAAUUAUAUACUGUGUUCAUUGCAGCUUAAAAUGGCACUUGAAUACAGGGUCCUUUCUCUCUCAGCUGUGUGUAUAUGGUGUCCUGGCACUAUUUUGUAGCCUUUUCGUGGUUGCGUGUGUAAUAUUCUGUGUGAACAUGUGUCUGUGCAGUCUGCAGCUCAGACAUCAGAAGAAGCUUCAGUCUUCAAGUCUCCAGAGACUGAAACACAACAACACAAUCUUUGUCUGAUGCUGAACUAUUUCUGUCUCUCUUUGACUACCUUUCAUUCUUCCAUGUUGUCAUCUGAAUCGAAUCUUCGAAUAAUAAAAACUUAGAUGCACUUCCACUGUGUCCUGA